GUGAGGAAUAUUGGACAAUGGGCGCAAGCCUGAUCCAGCCAUGCCGCGUGCAGGAAGACGCAUCUAUGGUGUGUAAACUGCUUUUGUACGGGAAGAAACACUCCCUCGUGAGGGAGCUUGACGGUACCGUAAGAAUAAGGAUCGGCUAACUCCGUGCCAGCAGCCGCGGUAAUACGGAGGAUCCAAGCGUUAUCCGGAAUCAUUGGGUUUAAAGGGUCCGUAGGCGGUUUAAUAAGUCAGUGGUGAAAGCCCAUCGCUCAACGAUGGAACGGCCAUUGAUACUGUUAGACUUGAAUUACAAGGAAGUAACUAGAAUAUGUAGUGUAGCGGUGAAAUGCUUAGAUAUUACAUGGAAUACCAAUUGCGAAGGCAGGUUACUACUUGUGGAUUGUCGCUGAUGGACGAAAGCGUGGGGAGCGAACAGGAUUAGAAACCCUUGUAGUCC
rnacentral:rRNA from 1 species